ensembl:lncRNA
CUGAAUCAUUUAAAUUAAUUCAUGAAAUCCUAACAGAGCAAGAUUUUUCCAAGACAUGCAGCAUUCAUUCUGCUUGACUUUCCAUUUUAAGGAGAAGUAACUGGGCAGUACCUUCAGCAUCCAGGCUUCAGAUUUUCUUCUGAGGCAGCUCUCCCUUUUGGUUUAGCACUGAGGAGCACAGUGUGCAGAGAAAUGUUAAUAGAGGUUUUAAUGCUUUUGAAGACCGUUGUUCUCAUAUUUACAAGAUUCACUUCUGACCACAGGAAGUGUAAUUUUCUAAAGCAAGGGAUGACUCCAUUGCUGCUGUGUCAUCUGGGAUGCUGAGGGGAGCAAGAUGCACGCUCUUGACUCAGAGGUUGACUGCUUUGGAAGAAAUUAUGAAUCCACGUAUGAAGGAGUUUGUCCUCCACCCAGAAAACAGUGGGAUACUGAAUUGGAAAACAGUUUGCUUGUGUAGUGCGAAUUGCACUAUUCAGGCUGAACCCUGGUUUGGCCAUUAUCUCCACUGAAGAACAUACAAUAUGAAUUAUGUAAUGUGCCACUUCACGAACUCUGCUGCAAGUUCCUUUAUAGCUGUGUAACGGCCAUGUCCUGUAACUGGCUUUUAUGGGGUAAUACUUACUCUUGAGCAAGUAUUGCUUAGGAUUACUUUGUGAGACUACUUGGCUUCUGUUGCGAUUUUAUUGCUACGUUGACAAUGUAUUUAAUGAAUUCUGAUGGAGUAAAAUUAAUAUGUAAACUGUAAAAAAACAAAAUUUACAGCAAGCUGAGCAGAAGGCCAGAUUAGAAGGACCACCGAAUUCUAAUAGCAGAUUUAUACUCUAUAGUUGUGUGGUUUUAGCUAUAAAAUUUAAACAUUUUUUGCUUAUUCUUCCAUGUAUAAAACAGGAGGAUUAAUAUUUAAUUCUCUGACAGCAUUAGUCCAUCUUGUAGCCUCAAGUAUUAGUGAGUGCUGUUUCAUACGUUUAACAGCCAUAAAAUUGCGUAUGUUCUUGCAAAGUUUUGUAAAUAUGAGAUAAGCAAGCAUAGCUCUGUAUUACUUUAGUCAAUUAAAAUGUAGACUAUUAUCUAUAUCUGGGUCACUACUGAACACAUUAGUGGGAAAUUACACUUAAACUCAUGAAACUACUUAAUGUUAUAAACAAUGAGAAACUGGCAUGGAAAACCUUUAACGAUAAAUCAGCUGUAGAAAAUAUCUGUUGAGCUUUGAUAUUUUGAGGUGUUUGUUCAGCUGUUUUAAAAUGUUCAGAUAAAAUGCAGCAUUUCAAAUGUUAUGUGCAGCAACAUGGAAGAUAAUCAAACAGCAAAUGUUUCCAUUCCGCAAUUCAAUCACAAAUGUAUGUAUGUGCAAUUAUGUCUAAAUUAUACAGAGUGGGAAGAAAAUGGAGACAUAUGAUGAUUGCAACAUCAUUACAACAGACAGUUAUUUAACAUGUACAACAGUUUUCAGUCUCUGUUGUGAAUGUCUUUUCUGUGAAAGAAUGAAAGGUACAAUUUUUACUGGUUCUU